UAGGAAGUCAACAAGGAAAAGGAAAACAACAUAGAAACCGAAGCCGGUGAUAAAAUGUAAAAUACCUUGAAGACAAAAAAGAAAGAAAGCCAUGAGUCUCUAAAAACAUUUUUCGACGACUAAACUCUUUUUUAUGAACUACGAUUGGCUUGAUCCAUAUUCAAAGGGUACGUAGGCAACAGCUAUAACAUAUAAAAUCUCUUUUUAUGUUUAUUCAAUGAGUUCCAAUCUUAAUAUAGAGACUUCUCCUAAGCCUCAAAUCAAAAUCUGCUCUUAUCGUGUACACCAUAUUCAUAUUCAAUAGAAAACAUAAAGAGAAAGUGAAUAACAUGGUUCUCUUCGAUCAUGCGACUUAGGACAAGCUUCACAUCUUUUCUUUUCAAACUGAUCACUCAUAUUCUCUCUGACCACCUUUGAGGAACUUCCACUAUCUCCACUCUUCAAAGUUUCCAACUUUUCAGUGGAUAAAUUCUUACAUCUUUUUUUUUUUUCAUCUGAGUAUUAUUAUUAUAGGAUAAAGUUCAAAAUACAGGCUCAUACAAAAGCCCACAGAUCAAGUCCAAAGCCCAACCGAAAAAACAAAGGAAAACAGAUAAGGCCAAAGCCCAAAAAUAACGACCGGUUCACCAGACACGUCGAAAGACACGUGUUUGAACCUCAACAACGAGGAAAACACGUGUCCCCAUCACCUUCCUCUUCUCCACCUCCGAAGAGACACGAAUCGUUUCGCCGGAAACUAACCGGGAAACACAUGCAACUUUCCAUCAUCUCCACCGGCCGGACAUCUCCACCGGCCUAAACAUCUCAUCGGAACCACCAGAAUCACCUGGGACCACCACGACGAAAGAAAC
rnacentral:lncRNA from 1 species